rnacentral:rRNA from 1 species
GGAAUAUUGGGCAAUGGCCGAGAGGCUGACCCAGCCAUGCCGCGUGCAGGAAGAAGGCCUUCUGGGUUGUAAACUGCUUUUAUCUGGGAAGAAAACGCCCCUGCGGGGGUAACUGACGGUACCAGCUGAAUAAGCACCGGCUACCUCCGUGCCCGCGUCCGCGGUAAUACGGAGGGUGCAAGCGUUGUCCGGAUUUAUUGGGUUUAAAGGGUGCGUAGGCGGCCCGUUAAGUCAGCGGUGAAAUCCCAGGGCUCAACCCCGGAACUGCCGUUGAUACUGGCGGGCUUGAGUUCGGUCGAGGCGGGCGGAACUGGUGGUGUAGCGGUGAAAUGCAUAGAUACCACCAAGAACCCCGAUUGCGAAGGCAGCUCGCUGGCCCGAAACUGACGCUGAGGCACGAAAGCGUGGGGAGCGAAC